UCUCAGUAUGAGGAAAGUGAGUCUAACAGAGUAGUCACUCAAUUCUACCAUGGUCCUUAAAUUGUUUUGUAAAGGCAGCUGUGUGAAUGGAAGGAGACUAAACUAAUCCUUCCAGGUAGAGAUAGCUUGCUCAAUCCUACAUGCAUAGCAGAAGCAGCUGCCUGAUGCUAGAGUAACUCUCCUGUUCCAGAGACUGCUGAGAGAGUUUAUUUUGGAGUGUUUGUUCUAUGCAAUGCUUGCAGAGUUAAUAGUGAAGACAACCAAUUUGGAAAAUCACCUGUGCAGUUAUCUUAUACUUAUAUUUCACUCACCAGCCAACUGGACAUACUUUUCAUAGGAAUUGGAGGACAUCUAGGUCUCUUCAGUAAAAAACUAGGGCUCUUCCACUGUUCUCGGAUUUACAGAAGCAAAGAGAGAAUCUGGAAAUUCAGUUGAAACAUUCAAGCAACACAUUGUGAUUAUGUAAACCUUACAUUAUCAACUGCUUGGUACACAUUGUCUAGUACAAUCAGAUAUAUUUUUAUGUUAAAUGUAUUAUCUUUAUUUUAUCAAGUAAGCAGGACUAUGAGCGGCAACUAAUGAAAAAAUGAAAUUAACAGCUUGCAUUAAUGCUGCAGUUAUCAAGGGCAAGUAUACAGGUCAAAGGCAGGUUGUAGAUUACACCAGAACUUGUGCUGGUAAAAUCCAGCAAGGAAAGGUGCCACCUAAUCAGAUUGUAGGGCAGGAUUUUAAAAAUAAAUAAAUCCCGAUAAGCAACAAAAAUAACUUGGCAAGAGAAACCCUGUUUAGAGAGCCAUGUUCUUCAGUGACAAUUAGG